rnacentral:rRNA from 1 species
UGCCAGCAGCCGCGGUAAUACGAAUGGGGCAAGCGUUGUUCGGAAUCACUGGGCUUAAAGCGUGCGCAGGCGGACUUACAAGUCAGGAGUGAAAUCCCAGGGCUCAACCCUGGAACUGCUCUUGAAACUGUAAGUCUAGAAUCCGGGAGAGGUGAGUAGAAUUCCUAGUGUAGAGGUGAAAUUCGCAGAUAUUAGGAGGAAUACCAGUGGCGAAGGCGACUCACUGGACCGGUAUUGACGCUCAGGCACGAAAGCGUGGGGAGCAAACAGGAUUAGAUA